UCAGAAUACCUUGUAAGUUUUCCCGAUAUUGUGUCGUAAUUUGGACAUAGAACUCUAUUUUAGAUAUUUGAAUAUUUUUUAGCCGAAUCCUCGAACCCGUAUCCGUAUUGAAUCUUAAAAUUUAGAUCAGGAAAGAUUCGAACUCUAGAUCCGCAGCCGUAUUGGACACAACACCUGUGUCCGAACAACUUAGCAAAUCAACACAAAUUUGGAUAGGAAUAAUGCUUUUAGAUAUUUUAUUAGGAAACAAAACCUAAAGUUGCAUACUCUGAUAUUGCAAAUGCAGGACAACAUAAAGCGAGAUGGGCGUUUAGCAAAAAACCUUACAUUUAUAGAAAAAGAAAUGACAUUUUACCACAAGUUUUUGUAAAUACCUAAGUAGAAUGUUUUAUAUAAGGUUAUAAGUAAAGUAGAAAUGACGACUCAAACUACUUUAAUCACAGUGACACAAAAAAUUUAAAGGUUAACUACAAAACAGUCAACAACAACAACAACAACAGACCCAGUGUAUUCCCACCAAGUGGGGUCUGGGGAGGGGAAGAUGUACGCGGACCAUACCACUACCUCCAAGGAAGUAGAGAGGCUGUUUCCAAUAGACCCCCUGCUCAAGGUGGAGAAAAGUUAACAAGGUCAUAGUAGAACAUGAAACAGGGUGGGUGGCAUAACUGAAAUACGAAAUAGUAAAUAGUAAAAAAGGAAAUAAGAGAGACGAAAACAAGAGCAGUACGAAAAUAAAGGAUAGGAAAUAAGGAAAGACAAGGACACUCACCUAGUAGUAGCCUACACUAGCAGCUCCUACCAAUGGACACUGUCCUAGGGUUACUAAUUCAGCUACACAAGAGCUCUUGAACUGCUAAUUACAACCUACGGACGCACUAGCCUUCUACCCUUAUCUGCGACCUCCAUACCUUCCUAUCUAGGGUCAUGUCCUCAGUAAGCUGUAACAACUCCAAGUCAUGUAUAAUCACCUCUCUCCAGUAUGCCUUUAAGCUUUAAGGGCACCUUCUUAUCACACAACACUCCCGAUGCGAGCCUCCACUUCAUCCAACCUGCUCCAAUACGUUUAGAUACAUCCUCAUCAAUCUCGCCAUUCCCCUAAAUCAUAGAUCCAAGAUACUUAAAACUAUCCCUCUUACAAACAACCUGGGAAUCCAACCUUACCACCAUUUCGUCCUCCUGCUUCAAGUCGCUAAACUCGCAUUCCAUAUACUCCGUCUUGGACCUACUCAACUUGAAUCCCUUAGCUUCGAGGGUUUGCCUCCAAACCUCCAAUUUUUCAUUCCCUUUUCUCCCACCCGCGUCUCAUCAAUCAGCACUACAUCAUCUGCAAAUAACAUACACUAUGGCACCUCAUCUUGAAUCCUCCCCGUCAACACGUCUAUCACUAGCGCAAAUAGAAACGGACUGAGAGUCGAUCCCUGAUGCAACCUUGUCUCGACCGGAAAAUGUUUUGAGUCUCCUCCCGCCGUACUCUCCCAAGUAUUCCCUCCAUCGUAUAUGUCCUUAAUGGCUCUAAUGUACGUCAUCGGUACCCUCUUCACCUCCAAGCAUCUCCAAAGAACCUCCCUAGGGACUUUGUCAUACGCCCUCUCUAGGUCGAUGAACACCAUGUGUAAGUCCCUCUUCCUUUCCCUAUACAGCUUCACCAAUCUCCUCACUAGGUGGAUGGCCUCUGUCGUUGAGCGACCCGGCAUAAAUCCAAAUUGAUUCUCCGAAAUGGACACGACCCUCCUCAAUCUCCGCUCUACCACCCUCUCCCAAAUCUUCAUAGUGUGACUCAACAGCUUAAUACUCCUAUAGUUGUUGCAACUCUGAAUGACACCCUUGUUUUUAUAUAACGAACUACAAAACAGUCGAAAUAGUAAAAAAUCGAAUAGAAUAUUAUAAACUGACGAAUAAAUAGAAGAAAAGGAGACUAAAUGGGGCAGGGCAGGUUGGGGCAGUCAAAUUUUCAAAAUAUAUUGUCAAAAUCUUAGUGGGUCAAGGCUUGCCCCACUGUGCUCCAGUUGCCACCCCUACAGAGGAAUGAGGAUAAAGUGGCAUUUUCAUCUCUAUCUAUUAAAAGUAAGGGAAAAAGAUGCCUAAUUUAAUAAUGAAUAUUUGAAUUAGCUUCUCCUUUGUUGUAACUAUAUGCAAUAGCAAAAAAGUAUCUUUAUAUUUGAAAAAAUUGCAUUUGUUCAGGAAAGGUCACCAUUCAAUAGGUCAGAGAUAACAAAGUUUUCAAGUUAAUUUUGUAGUGAACAUAUAAGGCCUAGCGGUGAUGUCCUAUCAGAUAUUCCAAUUAGGUAAAUGUGCUAAUGAUUCUAUCAUAGAAUACGAAGUUUAUUAGUAGAGUCAUGAAGAGUUGUGCUAACACAUGAACUCCCAUUUGUGUACAAACUAACUGGACAGGAAGAAGCUAAGUUCAUCUGGAUAUUAGAUAAGAAAGUAAUGAAGGGACGCCCGGUGCACAAAGCGUCUCACAUUCACGCAGGAUCGGGAAGGGCCGCACCGCAUAGUCUACCCUAAUGCAAGCAUUGGAGGCUGCUUCCACUGCUUCGAACCUAUGAUCUAUAGGUGACACAGAGACAACUUUACACGGAAGAUAACAUAAUAUACUUUACGAUGGGGUUCAAGUUGUAUGAAAUCAUCAGAAGUGAAACAAGAGCAGAGGAAUGGUUUGAGUAGACUGAACGAGGACGGAACUUUAUCGGAAGAACGAGUUCAGCAGAAAGACAAUGCUUUGGGUAUGCGCAUCUUUGAAGGAGGCAUCGAAAGUUAAGGGUAAUUUUGUAAAAAGAUGGAAGCUCCACGAUCAUUCUUCAGAGUACUUCUUUGCAAGAAACUUUAACAAACAUGGUCGUUACGUAUCAAUUGUCAGCAUUCAAUGAAGGAGGAGAUCAGUACUUAUCAUCCCUGAAAUGGCAUUUAAUGUAGGGUGGUUGGAUAUUGCAGUUAAGAUUGAGAGGUUCAUUAACUACAGACCCAACAAAAUAGGCAUUAAUGCAUUUAAAAAUAUAGAGGAGGGCCUUCUUUACUCGGAGACAGUCAGAAGGUCUAAAUGGCCAUCUAGAGAAAUGUGCUCAGCCACAGUCCAAGAAGAAAGUGGAAUCAUCCAUAUAGAUGGAGGAGACAAACCAAAUCAGAAUGAAUUGCUAUUGCUAAGCAGGAGCUUAGUGGGCUCUCUCACAGAAGACAUCCCCGACAUCCCUACUUUGUCUGAAAUACGAAGAUGGGCAAGUAGCACCUAGAAGCAAUCACAUGGAAUUAACAUAUAUGAAAUGGGUCAUAAUCAAUUCCUAGUCGAACUCUCGUCGAUGGUAACUGCAGAGCAUGUUGUGAGAGGUGACUGGCAGUGGAAGAAACACAAAUUCAACCUGCAAUGGUGGUCUCCGACGGUGGGAUCUGUCUCAAGGCAUGAAAAGGUAAAUCAAGUUUGGGUUAGAUUGAUCAGCCUUCCCCUUCAGUUAUGGUCCAAAAAGGUGUUCAAGGAUAUCAGAGACUUUUGUGGCGGCUGGAUUCAAACUGAAGAAGAGAUGGAGCUGAGAAACCACUUGAAAUGGGCGAGAAUAAUGGUUUUGGGCGACGGUGACGACGUCCUAAAAGUGGUGAAGGUGGAAAGUGAAAGUAUUAAUCUAUGAAAUUCAAAUCUGGUGUGAAGCUCCGGUGAGAACCAGCAUCGGAGUUGUAGGAAAAGAUAGAAUAAUGGACCAGCGGGUAAAAGAAGGCACACAGGAGAAAACUAUGAACCAAUAAG
rnacentral:lncRNA from 1 species